rnacentral:rRNA from 1 species
UAGUCUCGCACAGAUGCAUAUCAAUAAGCGGAGGAAAAGAAACUAACAAGGAUUCCCCUAGUAACGGCGAGUGAAGCGGGAAGAGCUCAAAUUUGAAAUCUUAAAGGGUUUCCCUUUACGAAUUGUAGUUUAAAGAAGUGUUUUCUGUUGAGGUUUUGGUAAAAGUUCUUUGGAAUAGGACAUCAUAGAGGGUGAGAAUCCCGUAUUUGACCUUUACUUUCAACUUUGUGAUACACUUUCAAAGAGUCGGAUUGUUUGGGAAUGCAGUCCAAAAUGGGUGGUAAAUUUCAUCUAAAGCUAAAUAUUGGCGAGAGACCGAUAGCGAACAAGUACCGUGAGGGAAAGAUGAAAAGAACUUUGAAAAGAGAGUUAAACAGUACGUGAAAUUGUCAAAAGGGAAGCGUUUGACACCAGUGUUGUUUUUCUGAAAAUCAAUUAAAGAACUGUUUAUGCUAAGCUGUUUAGACUUUAUCAGCUAACUGUUUAGUUUUGAGCUUUUCUUUAAUGCACUUUUCAGUUAACAAGUCAACAUCAAUUUCUUUUGCUGUAAAAAAGCUUGAGGAAGGUGGCUUGAGAUUCGUCUUAAGUGUUUAUAGCCUCUUGCCUAUGCAGUCGGAGAGAUUGAGGUCUGCAGCGUAGAUCCUUCGGGGCUAAAUACAUUUGUGCUAAGUUAUAGCAUUUUAUAGACAACUUGUUGACUAUGAUUUGUCUUGUAGCUUACUCGCUUAUGUUAUUUUACCUACGCUUAGGAUGUUGAUCUGUAGUGCGUGCGC